UGCAAGUCGAGGGGCAGCAUGAACUUAGCUUGCUAAGUUUGAUGGCGACCGGCGCACGGGUGAGUAACACGUAUCCAACCUGCCGAUGACUCGGGGAUAGCCUUUCGAAAGAAAGAUUAAUACCCGAUGGCAUAGUUCUUCCGCAUGGUGGAACUAUUAAAGAAUUUCGGUCAUCGAUGGGGAUGCGUUCCAUUAGGUUGUUGGCGGGGUAACGGCCCACCAAGCCUUCGAUGGAUAGGGGUUCUGAGAGGAAGGUCCCCCACAUUGGAACUGAGACACGGUCCAAACUCCUACGGGAGGCAGCAGUGAGGAAUAUUGGUCAAUGGACGAGAGUCUGAACCAGCCAAGUAGCGUGAAGGAUGACUGCCCUAUGGGUUGUAAACUUCUUUUAUACGGGAAUAAAGUGAGGCACGUGUGCCUUUUUGUAUGUACCGUAUGAAUAAGGAUCGGCUAACUCCGUGCCAGCAGCCGCGGUAAUACGGAGGAUCCGAGCGUUAUCCGGAUUUAUUGGGUUUAAAGGGAGCGUAGGCGGACGCUUAAGUCAGUUGUGAAAGUUUGCGGCUCAACCGUAAAAUUGCAGUUGAUACUGGGUGUCUUGAGUACAGUAGAGGCAGGCGGAAUUCGUGGUGUAGCGGUGAAAUGCUUAGAUAUCACGAAGAACUCCGAUUGCGAAGGCAGCUUGCUGGACUGUAACUGACGCUGAUGCUCGAAAGUGUGGGUAUCAAACAGGAUUAGAUACCCUGG
rnacentral:rRNA from 1 species